AUGGCAGCUUGUGUCCGAGACACCCGUGUGGGGCGAGGGAGAAAUCCACAGGACCAGCACAGAGCCAGCCCCCGAGACCUUCAGCACAGAAAUCUCAACAACCUCCGAUCCGUGUUCUGGGAGAAAGUUGGAGGAGUUUGGGGAUUAGAUGGUGGUCUGAUACAUGAGCCUUUCGUUUGUCUUUUUAAAGGUAAAGUGUGUAUUUCAAAAAUAAUGACUGUUUUCAUACAGGUUUUAUGAAGACGUUCCCUGUG
ensembl:lncRNA